GGUUAACCUGGAUUAUUUUGGGAGUCAGUGGAGGGAUUCUGAUUGUUUUAGUCAUGGAAGCUGUACAUUACAAUCGGAGGAGGAGGAAAAAAGCUUCAGAAGAAAAGAGUGGACCGAGUGAGGAGAAAACACAGGGUGAAGGAAAGACACACGGGGCGCAUCCAAAACGAGACCCUCAGACUGACCAGCCUGAUGAGGAGGUGAUAAACCAGAAUGAAGUGACGUACGCAAGUGUGCGCAUCAAAAACAAGAAAGCAAA